rnacentral:rRNA from 1 species
CUACAGAGGGUGCGAGCGUUAAUCGGAAUUACUGGGCGUAAAGCGCGCGUAGGCGGCUUAUUAAGUCAGAUGUGAAAUCCCCGGGCUCAACCUGGGAACUGCAUCUGAUACUGGUAAGCUAGAGUUUUGGAGAGGGAAGUAGAAUUUCAGGUGUAGCGGUGAAAUGCAUAGAGAUCUGAAGGAAUACCAGUGGCGAAGGCGACUUCCUGGCCAAAAACUGACGCUGAGGUGCGAAAGCGUGGGUAGCAAACGGGAUUAGAAACCCCGGUAGUCC